AAGGAUGAAGAGGAGGAGACAUCACCCAAAUGUGAAUUUUGUGGCAGCGAUCUAAGAGCAUUUUUUUCUAAUGUGGAUGUUUCCUCUGAACCAAAAGGGCAUGCCUCCUGUUGUAUUGCUUUCCAAAAUCUGAUUGACUAUAUCUAUGAGGAGCAAAUAAAAACCAAACCCCCUAAAACUGAAUUAAUUGCUAUUGACCCUCAUGCAGCCCAUGGCAGUGAGGUCGACAGACUCAAGGCAAAAGAAAAAGCCCUGCAAAGGAAACAGGAGGAACGAAUGGCCAGACAUUUUGCGAUCAUAUCAAGGGAACAGGCUCAUUUCUCUGAAGAUGAGUCAAAGCGCUUAAAAACAAUUUCUUAUCAACUUUCUGUGGAUAUUCCAGAAAAACAGACAAUUGAUGACAUCGUAUUUGAUUUUCAACUAAGAAAUAGUAACAUGUCCAUCAUUUGUUGUGAUUCUCGGAUAGCGUGUGGAAAGGUUGUCAGGAAUGAGCUCUUAGAGAAGCACUACAAACAUGGGAGCAAGUUUCUGACUUCAUUUCCAGAUGGGACAACACAAAUAUUCUAUCCAUCUGGAAACCUAGCCAUUAUUCGAGUGCCCAACAAGGUAAAUGGUUUCACUUGUAUUGUCCAAGAAGAUAUGCCCACUAACCCUGCUAUCCUAGCAGUGCUGGAUUCCUCUGGCAGAAGUUCCUGCUAUCAUCCCAAUGGAAAUGUCUGGGUAUACAUCAAUAUCUUGGGAGGUCAAUAUUCAGAUCAAGCCGGCAACAGAAUAAGGGCUUGGAAUUGGUCAAGUUCCAUCACUUCCUCACCCUUUGUUUCAUUUAAACCUGUCUUUCUGGCUUUGAACCGUUAUAUUGGAGUCCGCAUCUUAGAACAAGACAAGAUUUCUAUAACUUUUCUAGCAAUGGGCCAACAGGCAAGAAUCAGUGUUGGAACCAAAGUGAAGCUACCAAACCCUGAGGAGAUUCCAAUCCUCCGAUACGUGAGUGGAGAUGACCUUCUUCUGCUGGCCAGUUUAAUAAAGAUCCGUCGCCUGUUUCAUAAACUUGAAGGAUGUGUGAAUUUUCCCUCAAGCCAGGUUUGGGAAAAAUUAAAGCAACCUUCCUACCUUUCUUCACUUUCUCUAAAACUAAUUGCCCUCUGUCACAGUUCUGGUAUAAAGCAAGAUAUAAUGAAGACAAUAAAAAAUAUAAUAAAUGAAGAAAUUUAACUAAGAA
rnacentral:sRNA from 1 species